GGCAUGGAGGCUUAGUGGUUAACACGUUUGCCUCGUAACUCCAGGGUUGGGGGUUCGAUUCCCACCCAUGUCC